AAUAUUGCACAAUGGGCGCAAGCCUGAUGCAGCGACGCCGCGUGAGGGAUGAAGGCCUUCGGGUUGUAAACCUCUUUCAGCAGGGAAGAAGCGAAAGUGACGGUACCUGCAGAAGAAGCACCGGCUAACUACGUGCCAGCAGCCGCGGUAAUACGUAGGGUGCAAGCGUUGUCCGGAAUUAUUGGGCGUAAAGAGCUUGUAGGCGGUUUGUCGCGUCUGCUGUGAAAUUUCGGGGCUCAACCCCGAACUUGCAGUGGGUACGGGCAGACUAGAGUGUGGUAGGGGAGACUGGAAUUCCUGGUGUAGCGGUGAAAUGCGCAGAUAUCAGGAGGAACACCGAUGGCGAAGGCAGGUCUCUGGGCCACUACUGACGCUGAGAAGCGAAAGCAUGGGGAGCGA
rnacentral:rRNA from 1 species